rnacentral:rRNA from 1 species
AUGCAGCUACUCAGUCACUUAUGCAGGAACCGAUUGCCAAUACCAUUCUUUGGUUUGGCUGUUGUGCUACUAGUCUCCUUGGCUUCUCCCACCAGCUCCUGCACGGAGCAGGAGAAGAGCUCCCUUAUCCAGCUCCUUGAUGGGUUCUCACAAGACGGCGGCCUCACGGUGUCAUGGCGGAGCGACACAGACUGUUGCAGCUGGGAGGGGAUUGCCUGCAGCACCGAUAAGACGGUCACUGAUGUUUCACUGGCUUCUCACGGUCUUGAGGGGGUCAUCUCGCCAUUCCUUGGCAACCUCACCGGCCUGUUACAUCUCAACCUGUCGCACAACUCACUGUCCGGUGGCUUGCCACUAGAAUUGGUGUCAUCCAGCAGCAUCAUUGUCCUUGACAUCAGUUUCAACCGUUUGAGAGGAGCUCUGCACGAACUACCAUCUUCAGCCCCUGACCGACCUCUGCAGGUACUGAAUAUCUCGAGCAACUUACUUACAGGACCAUUUCCAUCCAUAAUAUGGAAGAAAAUGGAUAAUCUGAUAGCACUCAACGCCAGCAAUAACAGCUUUACUGGGCGGAUACCAAGUGAUUUGUGCAAUACCUCACCAUCCUUCGCUGUGCUUGACCUCUGUUUCAACAAACUGAGUGGCAGCGUGCCCCCAGGUCUUGGUAAUUGCUCCAUGCUGAGAGUGCUCAGGGCCGGCUACAACAACCUCAGUGGAACACUCCCAGAUGAGCUCUUUAAUGCGACCUCGCUGGAAUGCCUCUCUUUUCCUAACAAUGAUUUACAUGGUGUUCUUGAUAGUGAUCGCAUAAUAAGCCUCAGAAAUCUACAAAUCCUUGAUCUUGGGUGGAAUAACUUCAAUGGCAGGAUUCCAGAUUCUAUAGGUGACCUCAAGAGAUUGGAGGAGUUCCAUUUGCAGUACAACAACCUGUCAGGGGAGCUGCCAUCAACACUGAGCAAGUGUAAAAAUCUCAUAAGAAUUGACCUCAGGAGCAACUACUUCAGCGGAGAACUUACCAAGGUCAAUUUCUCCAACCUAUCCAAUCUGAAAACUUUAGAUCUUUGGUUAAACAACUUCACUGGCGUAGUUCCAGAAAGCAUCUACUCAUGCAGCAAUUUGACUGCGCUGCGGCUAGCAGCAAACAAUUUCCAUGGAGAGCUCUCACUGAGAAUAGGCAACCUGAAGUAUCUCUCCUUCUUGUCACUUGGCAAAAACAAUUUCACAAACAUCACAAAUGCAUUUCAGAUCCUUAAGAGCAGCAAGAAACUUAGCACCCUGCUUAUUGGAAACAACUUCAGAGGAGAGCUCAUGCCACAGGAUGACAUGAUUGAUGGCUUUGAGAAUCUUCAGUUUUUGGAUAUGGAUGGUUGCCAAUUGUCUGGAAAAAUACCUCUAUGGAUAUCAAGGUUCACAAACUUAGAGAUGUUAAUUUUAAGAAGCAAUCAACUCACUGGACCAAUACCAGGCUGGAUCAACUCCCUAAGCCAUCUCUUCUAUAUGGAUGUGUCAAACAACAAUCUUACAGGAGAAAUCCCAUUAACCUUGAUGGAGAUGUCAAUGCUAAAAUCAACUGGCAACUCAAGUCAUUUGGGCCCAUGGGUCUUUGAGCUGCCUCUUUAUAUUGAUCCAUCACUUCAAUACCUUGCGGAUACAUCUUUCCCACUAGUGUUGAAUCUAAGCAACAACAACUUCACAGGUGUGAUUCCCCCACAGAUCGGUCAGUUGAAAGUGCUUGGUGUACUUGAUUUCAGUUUCAACAAGUUAUCCGGGCAGAUCCCACAAUCGAUUUGCAAUCUCACAAACUUGCAGGUGCUAGACUUGUCCAACAACAAUCUCACAGGUGAUAUCCCAUCUGCACUGAACAAUCUGCAUUUCCUAUCCAGAUUCAACAUUUCUGACAAUGACCUAGAAGGUUUGAUUCCAUCUGGAGGCCAGUUUAGCACAUUUGAGGUUUCUAGCUUUGAUGGAAACCCAAAGCUGUGUGGCUCUAUGCUCGUACACAGAUGCGGUUCAGCAAAAGCACCUCCAGCCACUAUUCUGUCAACAAAACAACUUGAUUACAAGGUGGCCUUCGCAAUUGCCUUCAGUGCAUUCUUUGGUGUAGGGGUGUUGUAUGAUCAGAUAGUCCUAUCGAGGUAUUUAAAUUUGGGCUAG